ensembl:lncRNA
UUCUCCGCAAUCCACAAAGGGUGGAACACUGUUCAUGUUACACCACAAAGAGAUGUGUUAUAAACUCUAUAUAUUCCCGACUGUGUGGACUGACAGCACCCCUGUGCACUGGAGAUCUCAAGCAUAGCAUUAGGCCAGUACUGUACUGUAUGUUGCUCCGUAGGAUGGCUUUAAGAGAGAAUCAUGUCUUGGUGUAAAACCAAGAUAGGGAGAGAAUGCACUCAGCACCUUAACGUUUGCUGUCGUACAACUUUAGAAAACGCUGUCAGUUCAGUCAGACAUAUUAGGAAAUCAAAUGUACACACUGUUGUUCACAUCUUUACAGUGGGAGAAUGCUUGAGCUCUAGAAUAGUUGUAUUUAUUCAUGUUUCUGUUCAGAUUUUGGACUGGUGAAACUAGCUUUGCUUAGUGUAAAUGGUGGUGGUCUUGUGGGAAAUCUUCCUCCCCUUCUUUUCCUCUUUUUGUUUACUUUGUUUGCUCUUUCUUUUAUUUGAACCUUGAUGUUUGAGGAAAGUUGUGUAUAACAUUUCAGUCUUUACACAAGACGUUGUUCUAAAGCAGGUCUUUUUUAAUUGUUUUUGAUUUUAUUUCUUUGUUCCGGUAUAAUUUUCAAGGAGAAAGUACAGCAGGCCUUAUUAUCGGCAGGCCUUAUAACAGAAGAAUAGCAAGCAUUCGAGUCCAUGCUUUUCUUCCCAUCUGCGUGCCACAGAGAACCUUUCAAGCUAGAGAUAAUAAUCUAAAGGAAAUGAGCACUGUCCUUUUGGAAUUUAAUACACAGUAAGGAAGAGCUUAAGCCCGCCUGCCUGCGUGACCAAUCAGUGAGAUGGAGCCUGUAUUCCCAUGUGUCAAUCAUCUAACACCCUUAGCAGAGUUUGCCAUUAACAGGAUGCAUCUGGUUUUCAGGGAUACGGCUAUCCUUAACCUAGCUUCCUUUUCUGCUUAAAACCUGAUGUGGGAACACUUCUCAGAGGAGAAGGUUUCUCUAUGCCCACUCCACUCCCCAACCUUUUGCCAGGAUUCUACCUCAGUAGUUCUGACAGAUGUUAAAGAAUACUAAUGCAAAAAGAGGAUGAUGAUGAUGAUAAUAAGAGUAACUUGGUUUUAAUGUCCUGCAGAGCUGGCCUGUGUGUUCGAUGAAGCAUACAAAGCACUAGUUGGAAACCUGAAGUUACCAUGACGAUCUCUCCCAGAACUGGUUCAGAAAGCUGUAUGUUCUAUAUGGUAGGGUUAUUUUAAAGUAUAACAAAGUGUUAAAGACAUGAACAUAUGUGUCAACUUGUCUUUGUUACCUUGUACAAAUAAACCCUGAGUUUGUAAAUAAUUGUAUACAUAUUUCUAAACCCGUUUAAUUUUUCUAUGCACUUUUUUUAUUUAUAAUGUUAUUUGCUUAAUAAAGAUGUUAAGAUGUUUGAACAAAUCAGACUUGGUCAAUUAAAAAUGUAAAUAAACAAAUUCUGAUAUGACAUUUCUAUAACAUGCAAUGUAUAAGUACAGCAAUAUCAUUGGUUGGUGAUAA